rnacentral:rRNA from 1 species
CUCGCUGUGAAGAUGCAGUGUACCCGCGGCAAGACGGAAAGACCCCGUUAACCUGUACUAUAGCUUGACACUGAGCAUUGAGCCUGGAUGUGUAGGAUAGGUGGGAGGCGUUGAAGGGUGGACGCCAGUCUGCAUGGAGCCGACCAUGAAAUAACAACCUUUAAUGUUUGAUGUUCUAACGUGGAACCGUAAUCAGGGUUGCGGACAGUGUCUGGUGGGUAGUUUGACUGGUGCGGUCUCCUCCUAAAGAGUAACGGAGGAGCACGAAGGUUGGCUAAUACUGGUCGGACAUCAGGAGGUUAGUGCAAUGACAUAACCCAGCUGGACUGCGCGCGUGACGGCGCGAGCAGGUGCGAAA